GAUACUGGGCAAGCAUUGAGUUUUCGUUAGAGGGGGGGUAGAAUUUCCAGGGGGUAGCCGUUGAAAAUGCGUAGAGAUCUUGGAGGGAAUACCGGUGGCGAAAGGCGGGCCCCCCUGGACGAAGACUGACGUUCAGGUGCGAAAAGCGUGGGGGAGCAAAACAGGGAUUAGAUACCCUGGUAGUCCACGCCGUAAAACGAUGUCGACUUGGAGGGUUGUGCCCUUGAGGCGUGGCUUCCGGAGCUAACGCGUUAAGUCGACCGCCUGGGGAGUACGGCCGCAAGGUUAAAACUCAAAUGAAUUGACGGGGGCCCGCCCAAGCGGUGGAGGCAUGUGGUUUAAUUCGAUGCAACGCGAAGAACCUUACCUGGUCUUGACAUCCACGGAAGUUUUCAGAGAUGGGAAUGUGCCUUCGGGAACCGUGAGACAGGUGCUGCAUGGCUGUCGUCAGCUCGUGUUGUGAAAUGUUGGGUUAAGUCCCGCAACGAGGGCAACCCUUUUCCUUUGUUGCCAACGGUUCCGCCGGGGACUCAAAGGGGAAUUCCCCGUGAUAAACUGGGGAAGGGGGGGGAUGACGUCAAGUCAUCAUGGCCCGUACGACCAGGGCUACACCCGUGCUUCAAUGGCGCGUACAAAGAGAGAGUGAGCGCCCUCGCGCGAGCAAGCCGUCUUCAUAAAGUGCGUCGUAGUGGGGACCGGAGUCUGCAACUCUUGCUCCAGGAAGUCGGAAUCAAUAGUAAUCGUGGAUCAGAAUGCCUCGCAAAAUACGUUGCCGUAGAGUUCUAUCCUGGCUCAGUAAG
rnacentral:rRNA from 1 species